UACGAAGGGUGCAAGCGUUACUCGGAAUUACUGGGCGUAAAGCGUGCGUAGGUGGUUUGUUAAGUCUGAUGUGAAAGCCCUGGGCUCAACCUGGGAAUUGCAUUGGAUACUGGCAAGCUAGAGUGCGGUAGGGGAUGGCGGAAUUCCCGGUGUAGCAGUGAAAUGCGUAGAGAUCGGGAGGAACAUCUGUGGCGAAGGCGGCCAUCUGGACCAGCACUGACACUGAGGCACGAAAGCGUGGGGAGCAAACAGG
rnacentral:rRNA from 1 species